UAAGGGAGGGGCGACGGGACGGCUUCCGUCCCCAUCGACCAACUGCCCCCAAUUCCGCAUUCCAAUCCAAACGGCGGCCGCCUCCCGGCCCUCCGGCGUCGUCGCCUCAACGGCGAGGGACAGAGGGGCCCGGCUCGCCGUCCUCCUCCCAUGAAGGAGAAUUUACUCCCGUCGCUGCGCAAGCCAUCCUGUCGCUUGUCUCGACGAUGCGCCACCGCGUGCUGACGCCGACGCUCUGCGCCGUCGCGCCGUUCGACAUCCGUUGGCUGCUGCCGAAGCCGCGCCUCACCGACUCCAUGCGCCGUUCGACAUCCGUUGGCUGCUGCCGAAGCCGCGCCUCACCGACUCCAUGCGCCGUUCGACAUCCGUUGGCUGCUGCCGAAGCCGUGCCUUACCGGCCCCAAGCGGUCAUGGCCGCUGCGCACACCAUGUACGUGGUGCCGCCAACGCCACUGAUGCGGGCGAGUGGUUUUCGCCUGUUACCUCCCGGCUGCAUGUGCGUGAUGUGGCUGACGAAUUCCUUCUUCUUGCUUGGAGUAUCGAUUAUAUCUCCUGCGCAUAGGCUACAUGCCGAUUAGUUGUUAGAUCGUUGAUUUAAUCACAAAAGACAGCUCCUGCCUCAUAUUUUGUAGGGAUGCAUGAUCUUCUUUGCCACGGAUGGCCUGGCCUGGUGUCUCACUUCCUCUCUUCUGUGAUCUUGGGCGUGGCCUCAUAACCGUCGUCAAUGCCGACGCCGAAGUUCACUGCUGAAGUCUGCGUCCCUGCGUCGCUUGGUCGCCAUUGUUUGAAUGUGAAGAUCGUACGUAAUCGAUGCCUCCUAUUCUUCCAACAAUUUUCUCUCCCAUGGAGUUCGCCGGACAUGAGACUGCCAGAGUUGCUGCCUCGAUUCUCGCUGGGGACGGCGAAGUUCCUCUGGCCUAUUCGCUCUCUGCGGAGAGACGUGCGUGAUUGAUAAUGUGUUGAUUUCCGGUGAUGCGCAUUCAGUGGGAGGAGACAUUCCCGUUGAUGACGAAGUGCCUACGACGACUUCGUAAAUUUCAAGAUGAUAUGCCGGCUCAGUUUUUUGGAGGUGCUCUCAAUAGUUAGCAUCUGCACGUUGCAGUACAGAGAGGAUUAUCCCUUUAAUUAUAAAUUAAUUAAAUCCUAACAGGUCCAAGUAGAGCCUGCAAAAUGCAAGUUCCGAUAACCUGUUGGCCAAAGCAGGCAUCCGCACCUUGAGGCCUCCUUUGGUUUGUAGGAACUCUAUAGGAUAGGAUUUGCAAAGGAAAAAUUCCUUUGAAGCCCUUUGAUUUAUAGGAAUGGAUUUCUGUUCCUAUGUAGGAUAGGAAUCAAUCCUUCAUAUUUUGGAGGAAAAAAAAUUAGGCUAGACUCUGUGGAAAAAUUCCUAUCAUAUGCACCAAAUGGUAUCUCUUUCUUUAAAGGAAUUGAGAUGCAUGUCAUCUCACUUCCUAUGAUUUUCAUAUUCCUAUAAAAUUCCUAUCGUAUGAACCAAAGGAGGCCUGAGUUAGCUCAACCCUCGAUAGAGGAUCUCAUAUUUGACACUCUAAAUUGAAAUUUGUCUUUUUUGUGGAGAUAGAACGAAAAAACGUUUUUUUCACCAAAACUUUGUGCCGCGCACACACACAUUGGUGAACAUGUAUGCGUGAAGAUUUUCUUUUGAGUUUUUCGACAUUUUAAAUUGUGUUUGAAAUGCAUAUUUUUUUUCAAAAAAUGGGUGCAUAUGCCCAUGGGUUCAGGACGUGCUGACUCCACAGUUAGGCGUACAUCUCUACUCCUAUAAAAAACCGAGUUGGUGGUGAUGGUGUGCCUGCCAUCCAUCAAUCUCGACCAUUAGAUCUGGAUCCGACGAAGGAGAGGCAACCCACUUUAUAACCACCUUAUCCAACCAGGCAACCAAAAUCACUCGAUCCUUCUUGAAAAGGGGAGAACGAUGUAAACAAGCCUUGAUUUCUUGAUGGAACCAGUGGCCGCUGCCGCUGCCGCUGCAUGCGCCGCCGGCGCUGGUUGUUCCAGACCCCUCUCUUGACUCCUCUCUGCCGCCACCGCUCACUAGAAACUGUCUACUAUAGUAUCUGUAAGCAAUGACCACUGGUUAUAGUUUCUUAUCCAAAAUCUUCUUGUGGAUGAAAUUUUGAGUAUCGGAGAUGUUGGUGUGUACCUCCCUGAACUGGUAUUUUCACACAGGCAACUCUAUGUUACUCUUUGUAGAGAUAUAUCUAAAAGUAACAUAAAUAUUCUUACUCUUUCGGAUAAGCAAGGGAAGGCCAGUCCAACCCCAUUGCAAAUUUUUCAAAGAAAUGUUCUACAAUUAGGUCUCAAUGUGUAGUCCAAGGUAUAAAUCAAGUACAAUUUGGUGGCAGUAAAAAUAAUAAUUUAUUUAAUAUGUUUAGUCAUCUAAAAUUGCUUCGCAUGUAAGGUCCGGAAGUUUGGACUUCCAGAAAAAAUAACUUCAGAAAUUUGCUUUAGUGUUCAUGAUAUUCUUGUAAAAAAAAUCAUACAUGUGUUUAAAUUAUUUUUUGGUAGUUCUCAUUGUUACUUCCGUUGUUCGAAAAAUUUGGAUGACGCCUACAACAGGUCUCUAUGUCAUUGAUGCCCCUCCUUUUAUUGGUAGCUCCACAUCCAAUUUUUCAGGUGGGCAGAUGGAGAUGUACCGUGCUUCAAAAAUUAUUCCCUGGCGUGAUCUAAGGUAUGUAACUAAUUAAGUGGAACUAGAUGUGUGAGUUAUGUCUGAACUCUUCUUGGUGGUGUUGUAUACAAAUUCAUUUUUCUUGCGUAUAUUUACGAAAUCAUUCGGUUAAACACUUCUACUUCAUUCAUGUUUGUCUUGGAACUAUUAAUAUAAGUGUGUACUAUUUGGAUAUAUUAAUUGCUGCAAUUAUCUUCACAUUUAAGUCCGGUGUGCCUAAUAUAUUGGCAUGAAAUGGGCAAUGUUGACUUCCUGGAUGAACGGUAACUGAAUAGCUUGUUUGCUUUGUACAACCUUUCCAAGGAAAGAAGCAAUUCUCUGUUGCAGUAGUUUGUUGCAGUGGUUCUAAGGCUGGACAUGAUAAUAUGUAUUUUAGAUCACAGGCUGUGCUUGAAAUUUUGGAGGUCUGGUGUGGGGGCAGUUGUCGCAUCUUUUACAAUUUCACAAUUCGGAGUUAUCAGUUGUGACGCUCGCACGGCUUGCAAUUGACGAAGCCAAUGUUGGAAGGAUGUUGACGCAUGGAACAUCAUUUGACAUAGUAGUCUAGCUUAGUGAGCCCCGGUCAUUUUUUGGUACUUGUAUAUAAUCUCUUUUGCAUGCAAGUUAAGUGUUUUACUUUUUUGUUUUCCUUUUCCAUGUGACUUCUCCUAGCCAAUUAAUGAUUGUGGUAUGUUUGUGAGACUAUAAUACACUUUUAGCAAACUACUUUUGCAAUAUUCAAUCUUGGUUGAUCAUGCGAGCUUGCAGUAUAUCUUCGAGAUACUAUUAUGUGAUAUGUGAUAUGAUUCUUUUUUUUUCAA